CGUAACAAGGUUUCCGUAGGUGAACCUGCGGAAGGAUCAUUACCGAGUGUAGGGUUCCUAGCGAGCCCAACCUCCCACCCGUGUUUACUGUACCUUAGUUGCUUCGGCGGGCCCGCCAUUCAUGGCCGCCGGGGGCUCUCAGCCCCGGGCCCGCGCCCGCCGGAGACACCACGAACUCUGUCUGAUCUAGUGAAGUCUGAGUUGAUUGUAUCGCAAUCAGUUAAAACUUUCAACAAUGGAUCUCUUGGUUCCGGCAUCGAUGAAGAACGCAGCGAAAUGCGAUAACUAGUGUGAAUUGCAGAAUUCCGUGAAUCAUCGAGUCUUUGAACGCACAUUGCGCCCCUGGUAUUCCGGGGGGCAUGCCUGUCCGAGCGUCAUUGCUGCCCAUCAAGCACGGCUUGUGUGUUGGGUCGUCGUCCCUCUCCGGGGGGGACGGGCCCCAAAGGCAGCGGCGGCACCGCGUCCGAUCCUCGAGCGUAUGGGGCUUUGUCACCCGCUCUGUAGGCCCGGCCGGCGCUUGCCGAACGCAAAUCAAUCUUUUUCCAGGUUGACCUCGGAUCAGGUAGGAUACCCGCUGAACUUAAGCAUAUCAAUAAGCGGAGGAAAAGAAACCAACCGGGAUUGCCUCAGUAACGGCGAGUGAAGCGGCAAGAGCUCAAAUUUGAAAGCUGGCUCCUUCGGGGUCCGCAUUGUAAUUUGCAGAGGAUGCUUCGGGUGGGCCCCUGUCUAAGUGCCCUGGAACGGGCCGUCAGAGAGGGUGAGAAUCCCGUCUGGGAUGGGGUGUCCGCGCCCGUGUGAAGCUCCUUCGACGAGUCGAGUUGUUUGGGAAUGCAGCUCUAAAUGGGUGGUAAAUUUCAUCUAAAGCUAAAUACUGGCCGGAGACCGAUAGCGCACAAGUAGAGUGAUCGAAAGAUGAAAAGCACUUUGAAAAGAGAGUUAAAAAGCACGUGAAAUUGUUGAAAGGGAAGCGCUUGCGACCAGACUCGCCUCCAGGGUUCAGCCGGCAUUCGUGCCGGUGUACUUCCCUGGGGGCGGGCCAGCGUCGGUUUGGGCGGCCGGUCAAAGGCUCCCGGAAUGUAGUGCCCUCCGGGGCACCUUAUAGCCGGGAGUGCAAUGCGGCCAGCCUGGACCGAGGAACGCGCUUCGGCACGGACGCUGGCAUAAUGGUCGUAAACGACCC
rnacentral:rRNA from 1 species